UGCCUCUCAUUUUUGACUUCUUCAAAACCCCAUGUGAUAAAGCAUUCGACUUCAAGACGGAGAAGAUCUAAAGAAUUUCUCCCCCUAAGUUUUGUUUCAGACCCUGCCACUCCAUCGAAUUCUUUCGUUGGAACUGAAGAGUACAUAGCACCAGAGGUCAUCACGGGUGCACCACACACAAG